rnacentral:misc_RNA from 1 species
GAUGAAGAACGCAGCGAAAUGCGAUAAGUAAUGUGAAUUGCAGAAUUCAGUGAAUCAUCGAAUCUUUGAACGCACAUUGCGCCCGCUAGUAUUCUGGCGGGCAUGCCUGUCCGAGCGUCAUUUCAACCCUCAAGCCCCCGGGCUUGGUGUUGGGGAUCGGCGAGCCUCCGCGCCCGCCGUCCCCUAAAUCUAGUGGCGGUCUCGCUGUAGCUUCCUCUGCGUAGUAGCACACCUCGCACUGGGAAACAGCGCGGCCACGCCGUUAAACCCCCAACUUUUGAACGUUUGACCUCGGAUCAGGUAGGAAUACCCGCUGAACUUAAGCAUAUCAAUAAGCGGAGGA